rnacentral:rRNA from 1 species
UACGAAGGGGGCUAGCGUUGCUCGGAAUUACUGGGCGUAAAGGGAGCGUAGGCGGACAGUUAAGUCAGGGGUGAAAGCCCAGGGCUCAACCCUGGAAUUGCCUUUGAUACUGAUUGUCUUGAGUAUGGGAGAGGUAUGCGGAACUCCGAGUGUAGAGGUGAAAUUCGUAGAUAUUCGGAAGAACACCAGUGGCGAAGGCGGCUCUCUGGGACGGUACUGACGCUGAGACGCGAAAGCGUGGGGAGCGAACAGG